UACGAAGGGGGCCAGCGUUGUUCGGAAUCACUGGGCGUAAAGCGCGUGUAGGCGGGUUGUUAAGUCGGGGGUGAAAUCCUGAGGCUCAACCUCAGAACUGCCUUCGAUACUGGCGACCUUGAGUCCGGGAGAGGUGAGUGGAAUUCCUAGUGUAGAGGUGAAAUUCGUAGAUAUUAGGAAGAACACCAGUGGCGAAGGCGGCUCACUGGCCCGGUACUGACGCUGAUACGCGAAAGCGUGGGGAGCAAACAGG
rnacentral:rRNA from 1 species